rnacentral:miRNA from 1 species
AAAUCGCUUCCCUUUGGAGUG